CCAGAAUUCCCUGCUAGUGGCCCCAGGUGUCCUACAGAAAAGCCUGGGGUGGCUCCUAACCAGGGGGUCUGG
rfam:Alligator mississippiensis ScZkoYb_1887, whole genome shotgun sequence.